GAUGAAGAACGCAGCGAAAUGCGAAAAGUAAUGUGAAUUGCAGAAUUCAGUGAAUCAUCGAAUCUUUGAACGCACAUUGCGCCCGCCAGUAUUCUGGCGGGCAUGCCUGUUCGAGCGUCAUUUCAACCCUCAAGCACAGCUUGGUGUUGGGACUCGCGUUAAUUCGCGUUCCCCAAAUUGAUUGGCGGUCACGUCGAGCUUCCAUAGCGUAGUAGUAAAACCCUCGUUACUGGUAAUCGUCGCGGCCACGCCGUUAAACCCCAACUUCUGAAUGUUGACCUCGGAUCAGGUAGGAAUACCCGCUGAACUUAAGCAUAUCAAUAAGCGGAGGA
rnacentral:misc_RNA from 1 species